GGGCCUAUAGCUCAGCGGUAGAGCAGCCGGCUCAUAACCGGUCGGUCCCUGGUUCGAUCCCAGGUGGGCCCACCA
rnacentral:tRNA from 3 species